CCGAGUACGCUGGCGGCGUGCCUAAACAUGCAAGUCGGACGCGAAAGGUCCUUCGGGAGUGAGUAGAGUGGCGCACGAGGUGAGUAACGCGUAGGUAAUCUACCUCUGGAUUGGGGAUAACUCUGCGAAAGUGGAGCUAAUACCGAAUGGUCUGGCUUUAUUUCGAUGAAGUCGGUAAAGGAUGCCUCUGCAUAUGCAUCUGUCCAGAGAUGAGCCUGCGUCCCAUUAGCUAGUUGGUAGGGUAAAGGCCUACCAAGGCGACGAUGGGUAGCUGGUCUGAGAGGAUGAUCAGCCACACUGGAACUGGAACACGGUCCAGACUCCUACGGGAGGCAGCAGUGGGGAAUAUUGGGCAAUGGGCGCAAGCCUGACCCAGCAACGCCGUGUGAGGGAUGAAGGCCUUCGGGUCGUAAACCUCUGUCAGAAGGGAAGAACGGGCACAGUUCGAAUAGGGCUGUGUUUUGACGGUACCUUCAGAGGAAGCACCGGCUAACUCCGUGCCAGCAGCCGCGGUAAUACGGAGGGUGCGAGCGUUAUUCGGAAUCACUGGGCGUAAAGGGCGCGUAGGCGGCCUGGUAAGUCAGGGGUGAAAUCCCACGGCUCAACCGUGGAAUUGCCUUUGAAACUGCUGGGCUUGGAUCCUGGAGAGGGUGGCGGAAUUCCUGGUGUAGGAGUGAAAUCCGUAGAUAUCAGGAGGAACACCGGUGGCGAAGGCGGCCGCCUGGACAGGUAUCGACGCUGAGGCGCGAAAGUGUGGGGAGCAAACAGGAUUAGAUACCCUGGUAGUCCACACCGUAAACGAUGGAUACUAGGUGUUGGGGGCAUGACCCUCAGUGCCGGAGCUA
rnacentral:rRNA from 2 species